rnacentral:rRNA from 1 species
AAAAGCUCGUAGUUGGAUCUCAGCUCGAGACGGAUGGUCCGCCUACCGGUGGUUACUGUCUGUUCUCAGCAUUCAGCCGGUUUCUCUUGAUGAUCUUCACCGGUUGUCUUGGGUGACCGGCAAGUUUACUUUGAAAAAAUUAGAGUGCUCAAAGCAGGCGUGAAAGCCUGAAUAAUGGUGCAUGGAAUAAUGGAAUAGGACCUCGGUUCUAUUUUGUUGGUUUUCGGAACACGAGGUAAUGAUUAAGAGGGACAGACGGGGGCAUUCGUAUUGCGACGCUAGAGGUGAAAUUCUUGGACCGUCGCAAGACGAACUACUGCGAAAGCAUUUGCCAAGAAUGUUUCCAUUAAUCAAGAACGAAAGUUAGAGGUUCGAAGGCGAUCAGAUACCGCCCUAGUUCUAACCAUAAACGAUGCCAGCCAGCGAUCCGGCUGUGUUCCUCAAAUGACACGCCGGGCAGCUUCCGGGAAACCAAAGCUUUUGGGUUCCGGGGGAAGUAUGGUUGCAAAGCUGAAACUUAAAGGAAUUGACGGAAGGGCACCACCAGAAAUGGAGCCUGCGGCUUAAUUUGACUCAACACGCGAAAACUUACCCGACCCGGACACAGGAAGGAUUGACAGAUUAAGAGCUCUUUCUUGAUUCUGUGGGUGGUGGUGCAUGGCCGUUCUUAGUUGGUGGGGCGACUUGUCUGGUUAAUUCCGAUAACGAACGAGACUCUAGCCUACUAAAUAGACGCUCCGAUCCUUCGAGUCGGACGUUCUUCUUAGAGGGACAAGCGGCGUUUAGCCGCACGAAACAGAGCAAUAACAGGUCUGGGAUGCCCUUAGAUGUCCGGGGCCGCACGCGCGCUACAUUGAAGGAAUCAGCGUGUGCUCUCCCUAUCCGACAGGAUUGGGUAACCCGUUGAACCUCCUUCGUGCUGGGGAUAGGAGAUUGUAAUUGUCCUCCUUGAACGAGGAAUUCCCAGUAAGCACAAGUCAUAAGCUUGUGUUGAUUACGUCCCUGCCCUUUGUCCACACCGCCCGUCGCUACUACCGAUUGAAUGAUUUAGUGAGGUCUUCGGACUGGCGCUCGGAUUGGCCUUCGGGUCGAGCCGAAGUGCCGGAAAGAUGACCAAACUUGAUCAUUUAGAGGAAGUAAAAGUCGUAACAAGGUUUC